rnacentral:rRNA from 1 species
UGGGGAAUAUUGGACAAUGGGGGCAACCCUGAUCCAGCAAUGCCGCGUGAGUGAUGAAGGCCUUCGGGUUGUAAAGCUCUUUUGGCGGGGACGAUGAUGACGGUACCCGCAGAAUAAGCCCCGGCUAACUUCGUGCCAGCAGCCGCGGUAAUACGAAGGGGGCUAGCGUUGUUCGGAAUUACUGGGCGUAAAGGGCGCGUAGGCGGUCCUGAUCGUCGGAUGUGAAAGGGCCUGGGGGCUCAACCUGGGAACUGCAUCCGAUACGGCGGGACUGGAGUGUGGGAGAGGUUGGUGGAAUUCCCAGUGUAGAGGUGAAAUUCGUAGAUAUUGGGAAGAACACCGGUGGCGAAGGCGGCCAACUGGACCACAACUGACGCUGAGGCGCGAAAGCGUGGGGAGCAAACAGGAUUAGAUACCCUGGUAGUCCACGCUGUAAACGAUGCGUGCUAGACGUUGGGCACCCUAGGUGUCCGGUGUCGUCGCUAACGCUUUAAGCACGCCGCCUGGGGAGUACGGCCGCAAGGUUAAAACUC